UGUUUGAUCUGUGAGACGUAAAGCUACAUAAAAAUAGAUGGAAGUCUGAGAUGUCGUGUAAUUAUCAAGUUAAAGCAAUUACUCAUGAAUGAAAUGGCAUGCUGUUGUUAGUGUUUUAUAUUAUUGGAUAAUGACAACGAAUGUUUAAACGACGGGUCUGGGAAAGAUUUCCUUAAUUGCAACAGCCGCUUCAGUAAGCGUUUCCUACAUCUGAACAUGGUCAUCCAAAUGAUUUUCUAUCCCUGCUGAACUGCAAGAUCAUAAAACGAUCUUACCAAGUGCCAGAUGGUCAGAAUUGGUAUUCUCUCAAUCCUACCCAUAAAAUAAGUUUUACAAGAUGCCUUCGUUCUGCUAUGGAUGCUACAGUGGACCAGUUGUGCUUCUCUCAGUGGUUACGAUAUUGGGAGAUUCUGCACCAAUGAGGAUCUGUAGGCUCUUUGCAAACUUUUCCUGAAGCCAGCAUUCUUCAAAAUGUGUUCAAGUCUGGGAUUUAUUAUUGCCAAGUCAUUUCCAACAUCGUAAAACUUGGAGCAUCAAUUCUCUGUAAAUAAGCCUAAACGGAAUCUUUGCCUGUAAUAGGUGAUAUAUUUUUCAUUUAAAUUAGAUGUAUUAAGAUUGGAAAGUAUCGAGUAUUUUUGGAGCAUGUUCACAACCCUUUAUAUCAGUUAUCAUUAAAAAUAUUAAGGUUCCUACAGUUGUCUCGCUAAAAUUCAUGCCCAAACGCAUGAUCAUUAUCCGAUCCAGAAUCCAAUAGCAACCACAAAUUAACUUUUUGUCUAUUAAACUAUCUUCAUGAAAUUUUAUUAUUCAAGCUACAAAAUUGAAACAAGGCUUCGAAUUUACAAACAGGAAGCUCAAACCGAAUGCAUGUCCAAAUAAAAAUACGAAACUUAAAUGUAGCCGUUCAGAAUCUAAUUAUGAAUGUUGAAUUAUGUAAAUGCAGCAAAUUCAUAGAACCGUCAGUAUUGCAUAAUUAUAACAUAAGUUAAUUGCUGGAUAAUUUAAUGUUAAUUCUGCAUGUGAAAGCUUCUUUGCCGCUGUGAUAUCAAUUAUAUCUCGCUUGCAUGCGAGUUCAGAACCUUUAUGCAUCUGGCAAGUACAUCGGUAUUUUUUAACUGUUAAAGAACAAGACCCUCUUUCGUAAUAGAAAUUCAUAUUUCAUACAUCAUACUUUACAAAUAAACGUCUACCCAAGUAAUAUAUUAAAAUGGAUGUAAAAUUGGAUUCAGUUUAAUUAUCCCAUUUAAACAAAUUGACUUUAGCUAGAAAUGUAAAUUCGCUAAUGCUACAAUAACAAUUGCAAUGGAAUCGAUUAUUAGUCAAGCAGUACUGAUUAGUUAUUCUACAUCAGUAUGAAUAUUUGAGCAUUCCGCUAAAACUGAGUUGAGUUCGUGUAUAGAAAAUUGUAAUUUUAGAUAUUAACUUCAACCAUGAAGCGCGUUAAUAGACAGGACGCAAAGGAGGCAAAACUCCAUGCAGAUAUCUUUCCUACGCCUCUGAAAUCUUGCGCGAGAUUAAACUUCGCGUAAGUGUAAAUUAAAUGGUUCGGUGCUAAAGCAAACUAAUUUCGUCAUAUUGAAUAACUGCGAAUUCAAUUAGUUUGAAAAUCUGAUUUUUUCAGUGUUGAAAGUAGGAGGUAAAACUUUAUAAAACUGAAGUGUAAGAUACUCUAGGAAUACAGGGCAAGAUUUUUUCAACAAUGGGUUUCGACGCCAAGUGCGAUGGCUUUCAGGAAACUAUGGGAAUGAAUCCAGGAAGCUCGGAUACUGUCAAAUAAAAGUUGGGGCAUUUUUAGAUAGAAACACUUGAUUAAUAUUUUAUCAAACUAACAUCUAACUAAUAUGCAUCUUAUUUUCUUGAGUUAAGAAAUCGGUUUGCAAGUUUUUUGUUUGUAUACGGAUUCACUGGGAAUAUUUUUCAGGUUUGGGACCUUAUUUAUAAAUCCUCAGAUAGGAUAGUAUA